rnacentral:rRNA from 1 species
AUUGAACGCUGGCGGCAGGCCUAACACAUGCAAGUCGAACGGAGCGGCGGACGGGUGCGUAAUGCCUAGGAAUCUGCCUGGUCGUGGGGGAUAACGUCCGGAAACGGGCGCUAAUACCGCUUACUCUCAGCUGAGCCUAGGUCGGAUUAGCUAGUUGGUGGGGUAAAGGCCUACCAAGGCGACGAUCCGUAACUGGGCUGAGAGGAUGAUCAGCCACACUGGAACUGAGACACGGUCCAGACUCCGACGGGAGGCAGCAGUGGGGAAUAUUGGACAAGGGGCGAAAGCCUGAUCCAGCCAUGCCGCGUGUGUGAAGAAGGUCUUCGGAUUGUAAAGCACUUUCAGUUGGGAGGCGUUACCAACAGAAUAAGCACCGGCUAACUUCGUGCCAGCAGCCGCGGUAAUAC